CCUACGGGUGGCAGCAGUGGGGAAUAUUGCACAAUGGGCGCAAGCCUGAUGCAGCGACGCCGCGUGAGCGAAGAAGUAUUUCGGUAUGUAAAGCUCUAUCAGUAGGGAAGAAAAUGACGGUAUCUGACUAAGAAGCUCCGGCUAAAUACGUGCCAGCAGCCGCGGUAAUACGUAGGGAGCAAGCGUUAUCCGGAAUUACUGGGUGUAAAGGGAGCGUAGACGGGUUAGUAAGUCUGAUGUGAAAGGCGGGGGCUCAACCCCAGGACUGCAUUGGAAACUGUAAAUCUUGAGUGUCGGAGAGGUAAGCGGAAUUCUUGGUGUAGCGGUGAAAUCCGUAGAUAUUAGGAGGAACACCAGUUGCGAAGGCGGCUUACUGGACGGUUACUGACGUUGAGGCUCGAAAGCGUGGGGAGCAAACAGGAUUAGAUACCCCUGUAGUC
rnacentral:rRNA from 1 species